UACGUAGGGUGCAGGCGUUAAUCGGAAUUACUGGGCGUAAAGCGUGCGCAGGCGGUUUGCUAAGACAGGUGUGAAAUCCCCGGGCUUAACCUGGGAACUGCGCUUGUAACUGGCAAGCUGGGAGUGUGGCAGAGGGGGGGUGGAAUUCCGACGUGUAGCAGUGAAAUGCGUAGAGAUGUGGAGGAACACCGAUGGCGAAGGCAGCCCCCUGGGCUAACACUGACGCCUCAUGCACGAAAGCGUGGGGAGCAAACAGG
rnacentral:rRNA from 1 species